rnacentral:rRNA from 1 species
GACGAACGCUGGCGGCGUGCUUAACACAUGCAAGUCGAACGGAAAGGCCCUGCUUUUGUGGGGUGCUCGAGUGGCGAACGGGUGAGUAACACGUGAGUAACCUGCCCUUGACUUUGGGAUAACUUCAGGAAACUGGGGCUAAUACCGGAUAGGAGCUCCUGCUGCAUGGUGGGGGUUGGAAAGUUUCGGCGGUUGGGGAUGGACUCGCGGCUUAUCAGCUUGUUGGUGGGGUAGUGGCUUACCAAGGCUUUGACGGGUGGCCGGCCUGAGAGGGUGACCGGCGACAUUGGGACUGAGAUACGGCGCAGACUCGUACGGGAGGCAGCAGUGGGGAAUAUUGCACAAUGGGCGGAAGCGUGAUGCAGCAACGCCGCGCGCGGGAUGACGGCCUUCGGGUUGUAAACCGCUUUCGCCUGUGACGAAGCGUGAGUGACGGUAAUGGGUAAAGAAGCACCGGCUAACUACGUG